rnacentral:snRNA from 1 species
AGCGGCUGAGGAUGGUCCAAUAGACAACGCCCUUGCCUUUUACUAGGGCGUUCCGUGUACCAUUUUCACACGAAAGUCGCUUCGCAAAAUCUCAAGACACCUCGCCAAUAUUUGCGAGU